rnacentral:rRNA from 1 species
AGUGAACGCUGGCGGUAGGCCUAACACAUGCAAGUCGAACGGCAGCACAGUAAGAGCUUGCUCUUACGGGUGGCGAGUGGCGGACGGGUGAGGAAUACAUCGGAAUCUACUUUUUCGUGGGGGAUAACGUAGGGAAACUUACGCUAAUACCGCAUACGACCUACGGGUGAAAGCAUGGGAUCUUCGGACCUUGCGCGAUUGAAUGCGCCGAUGUCGGAUUAGCUAGUUGGCGGGGUAAAGGCCCACCAAGGCGACGAUCCGUAGCUGGUCUGAGAGGCUGAUCAGCGACACGGGAACUGGACCACGGUCAAGACUCCUACGGGAGGCAGCAGUGGGGAAUAUUGGACAAUGGGCGGAAGCCUGAUCCAGCCAUACCGCGUGGGUGAAGAAGGCCUUCGGGUUGUAAAGACCUUUUGUUGGGAAAGAAAAGCAGCAGGUUAAUACCCAGCUGUUCUGACGGUAACCAAAGAAUAAGCACCGGCUAACUUCGUG